rnacentral:rRNA from 1 species
AUUGAACGCUGGCGGCAGGCCUAACACAUGCAAGUCGAGCGGCAGCGGGAAAGUAGCUUGCUACUUUUGCCGGCGAGCGGCGGACGGGUGAGUAAUGCCUGGGAAAUUGCCCAGUCGAGGGGGAUAACAGUUGGAAACGACUGCUAAUACCGCAUACGCCCUACGGGGGAAAGCAGGGGACCUUCGGGCCUUGCGCGAUUGGAUAUGCCCAGGUGGGAUUAGCUAGUUGGUGAGGUAAUGGCUCACCAAGGCGACGAUCCCUAGCUGGUCUGAGAGGAUGAUCAGCCACACUGGAACUGAGACACGGUCCGGACUCCUACGGGAGGCAGCAGUGGGGAAUAUUGCACAAUGGGGGAAACCCUGAUGCAGCCAUGCCGCGUGUGUGAAGAAGGCCUUCGGGUUGUAAAGCACUUUCAGCGAGGAGGAAAGGUUGAUGCCUAAUACGUAUCAACUGUGACGUUACUCGCAGAAGAAGCACCGGCUAACUCCGUGCCAGCAGCCGCGGUAA